CAAGCAUCGAUGAGCGGGAGAGUAGUUAACGUGUUCUAGUCCACAGCGAGCCGGGUAAGUGCAAGCCGGUACAGAUCACCUAAUGAAGCGCACCCGUGAGAUGGACUUCUGAACCUAAGUAGGAAGUCCCGGCUAAAGACCGUUAUCCUGUAAGGUGGCUAAACAUCUGUUUAGCAACGAGAGUGGUACCGCGAGCGCUAAAGCUCUCGUCUCUUUU
rnacentral:ncRNA from 1 species